rnacentral:snRNA from 1 species
GUGCUGGCUUCAGCAGCACAUUUAUUAAAGUCGGAACUAUACGGAGUUUAGCAUGGCCCCUGUGCAGUUAAUCUGCUGUCCAACUGACAUAUUCAGAACACUG